AGCUCCUCUCUCUUUCUUCUCAAAAUAAAGAAACCAUUUUAUGAACCUUCUUAUCCUGAGAGCUAUUGUUAUUCAUUUAGUCCUUUUGACACCUAACUCUUUGUGUCAAUGUAACACGAUAAGAAUCAAGAUAAAGUUUGGAAACCGUCAUAGGAGGUGUAUCCAUAAUUGACAGGUUUCUUGUGUUCUGAUGUUCAGUCUCCAGCCCAAUGAUUUCCCACUAGACACACACGAGUGUU